AGUACAGGAAGAUAUAUAUGUAUUAUAUCCACUACUAUAGUUCAACAAUGGAGAAAUCUUCAUCCAAGUUGGUUUUUCUAGUCUUGGUCAUGCUUGUGAUGAUGGCAUCUUAUUCAAAGAUGGCAGCAGAAGGGAGGACGGUGAUUUCAUAUCGAUGCAAGGUAACGGAAGACUGCAACCGUGUUUGUGAAAAAUGCUUAAACUGCGCUUGCCAAAAUACCUGGUGCGUAUGCCUUGAUGAAAGCUGGUCACCUUCAACCCUGGGAACUGUCUUUGAACAUCAAGAAGCAAAACAAGAGCAUGGAAAUUAAGAUUUUGCAAGUGUAAUUAUAUGAUUAAAAUCUGUCAAUAAGCCAGACCCUUGAGAAGUUGUGUGGCUGAUUUCUUAAGUAAUAAAUGAAAUGAUGAGCUUGUUACAAA